CGGCGGACGGGUGAGUAACGCGUGGGUAACCUGCCUCAUACAGGGGGAUAACAGUUGGAAACGGCUGCUAAUACCGCAUAAGCGCACAGUACCGCAUGGUACGGUGUGAAAAACUCCGGUGGUAUGAGAUGGACCCGCGUCUGAUUAGGUAGUUGGUGGGGUAACGGCCUACCAAGCCGACGAUCAGUAGCCGACCUGAGAGGGUGAACGGCCACAUUGGGACUGAGACACGGCCCAG
rnacentral:rRNA from 1 species